CCCUUAGAUGUUCUGGGCAGCACGCGCGCUACAAUGGUCUUCGCAAACGGAUGCAUUCUCGAAGGAGAAUGCCAAUCUUGGAAUCUAUGCCUUGGUCGGGACAGUUGCUUGCAAUUUUUCGACUCGAACCAGGAAUUCCUUGUAAUCGUGAUUCAUCACAUCACGAUGAAUACGUCCCUGCCCUUUGUACACACCGCCCGUCGCUCCUACCGAUCGAAGAGUUAGGUGAAGCGUUUGGACUAUGGUUUUCUGAUGGUCCGCCGUUGGAUUACCGUGGGAAGUUCGUUAAACCUUAUCAUUUAGAGGAAGGAGAAGUCGUAACA
rnacentral:rRNA from 1 species